UACGUAGGGUGCAAGCGUUAAUCGGAAUUACUGGGCGUAAAGCGUACGCAGGCGGCUAUGUAAGACAGGUGUGAAAUCCCCGGGCCUAACCUGGGAACUGCAUUUGUGAGUGCAUAGCUAGAGUCCGUCAGAGGGGGGUGGAAUUCCACGUGUAGCAGUGAAAUGCGUAGAGAUGUGGAGGAACACCGAUGGCGAAGGCAGCCCCCUGGGAUGAGACUGACGCUCAUGUACGAAAGCGUGGGGAGCAAACAGG
rnacentral:rRNA from 1 species